rnacentral:rRNA from 1 species
AGUGAACGCUGGCGGUAGGCCUAACACAUGCAAGUCGAACGGCAGCACAGUAAGAGCUUGCUCUUACGGGUGGCGAGUGGCGGACGGGUGAGGAAUACAUCGGAAUCUACUUUUUCGUGGGGGAUAACGUAGGGAAACUUACGCUAAUACCGCAUACGACCUACGGGUGAAAGCAGGUGAUCUUCGGACCUUGCGCGAUUGAAUGAGCCGAUGUCGGAUUAGCUAGUUGGCGGGGUAAAGGCCCACCAAGGCGACGAUCCGUAGCUGGUCUGAGAGGAUGAUCAGCCACACUGGAACUGAGACACGGUCCAGACUCAUACGGGAGGCAGAAGUGGGGAAUAUUGGACAAUGGGCGCAAGCCUGAUCCAGCCAUACCGCGUGGGUGAAGAAGGCCUUCGGGUUGUAAAGCCCUUUUGUUGGGAAAGAAAAGCAGCAGGUUAAUACCCCGAUGUUCUGACGGUACCCAAAGAAUAAGCACCGGCUAACUUCGUG